rnacentral:rRNA from 1 species
AUGUGUGUCCCAAAAAAUAAAGGAGGUACGAGUUUUUGAGAUAUACACUGCUUCAAUCUAGCUUUGUUAGCCAAACAAGCAAGACGUCUGCUUGAUAAUCCUGAUUCUUUAUGUGCUACUAUUUUAAAAGCUAAAUACUUUCUAGAGGGAGAUUUAAUGAGUGCAAUUCUAAAAAAAGGUUCCUCUUUUACUUGGCAAAGUAUUAUGGCAGGAGUGAAUUCUCUAAUAAAUGGUUAUAUCUAGUGAGUUGGAAAUGGACAAAAUAUUGAUAUUUGGAGAGUCGCUUGGAUAAAUGUGAAUAGGAAAAUUAUUACUCCUAGAAGGGGGCAUCUUCUGUCAAAGGUUUGUGAGCUUAUUGACCCAAUCACGAAUUCGUGGGAUGAAGAUUUGGUGAGACAAACAUUUAGGCCAAUUGAUUCUCAAAGGGUGCUCUCAAUUCCACUUCCCAUGCAUAAUAUGCCAGAUUUCAUUGCUUGGAGCUACACAAAAAAUGGUAUGUUCACUGUUUGA